rnacentral:misc_RNA from 1 species
CAAAAAUAUUAGAUUGCUUACAAGCCAAAGACAUAGCGAGUGACUUUCUAACCUUUAUCAAGGCAUUUCUCCAGGUUCAAAAAUGCUUCUUCAUACACUUGAGAAAUGCCACAUUCUACUGUAAGCAUCACGAUGGUAUGCUCUUUGAUGAUGUUAACAGCUAAAGGGGUGGGGGUUUUAUACAUGAAGGAUUAUUAAGGGGGAGACGAAAAAUCAUUGAAACUGAAGCCAAAGAAUAGGGUAGACAGAGCAAAAGACGGAUUUCAUAAUAAGAAUUGAAUAAGAGGGAUGAAGGAGAGAAGGUGCUGGGGCUUGGAACAUAAAUAGGUAGCGAACCUUUUCUCUCCAAAAGAUGCCACUUGGCAAAAAAAUAGAGUAAACACCUGUCAACAUUGUAUUAACUUAUUUCAAAAUUCAGCUUUAUAAUAUUUAUAUAUAGAUAUCUAUUCAUUUCAAGAACUUGAGUUCUUGAGCUUAGAUCAU